rnacentral:rRNA from 1 species
AAACCAAAAAAUUUAGUCAUUUUUUUCGGUAAAGACAGUUAGGUAGAAAAUAAUCAUUAGAUCUUUAAUAUAGAAGUAAAAUUUAUAUAUUAAAAGUUAUACUUAAGAUGAUUUAUUUUAGAUACUGAAUCUGUGACAACUUUAAGGGAAACUGGGAUUUGAUACCCCAUUAUUUUUAGUAAUAAAUUUAAUUUAGAUUUACCAGAGCACUACGAAUAAAAAAUUUAAAACUCAAAGAGCUUGGCGGUGUUUUAGACCUCUCAGGGGAAUCUGUCUCAUAAUCGACAAUCCGCGUUAGACCUGACCCUUUAUAGUAAUUCAGUUUGUAUACCGUCGUCGUCAGGUAACUUUUUAAAAUAUAAUAGUUAGCUUAAUAAUCUUAUCAAUUAAUACGUCAGAUCAAGGUGCAGCUAAUAAAAGGGGGAAGAUGGGUUACAAUUAUAUAUUUAUAACUACGGAUGUUACUUAGAAAUAAAGUAUCUAAAGGAGGACUUGAAAGUAAUUUUAAUUAUAUAAUUAAGAUGAAUAAGGCUCUGAAACGUG